CGCUAUCCUGAGAGAACACAACCCACUGCGUCUCUACCACAGUACACCGACGUCAUAGACGCCUUCCCCCUAGCAGAAGCCUGGGGCAGGAAGUGUCUCGGGAGGCUGAGGCUGAAACCUGCCAAUCCCGCCCAAUUGCGGAGAGAGGUCGUCGUACUUGGGGGCGCGUUACUCAUCACUCACUUUAAUGGGCCCUUUUGGGACAUUUUAUCUGCAAUAUGUAACAGUUCAUGUGGAUCCUAUCAAAGAAUUUCCAGCAAGGUCACCCUAUGUAAGCGUCGUGACUGCGGCUGGGAGGGCAAGACGCUCUCCUGGCUCCCCUAGCACUGGACUUACCCUGGGGGUGGGGGUGGGGCGAGGAGGGACUUUGAAAACCCCCAGGAGAGGAAGAAACAGCAAGACUGAGCAAAGACCCAGGGCACACAGGACCGAGGGCCGAGGCCGCGCGAGCGCAACCAGGGAAGUUCUGGUCCUCGGUGCCCGGCAAACAGCCUCUCGUGCCUGUUCCCCCAGAAUCCUGGGACGUGGCCUCAUAUGACAAUGCGGUCCCUGCAGAAGCUGUUUAGACCGCCUACAACUGGAUGCCAUUUGAAAGGGAUCUUUUAUAGCCACCUACCCAGUGGGUUCUUGAAGAUGUUCAACAGACUGCAUGGUAGGGAUCCUUGGAGACAUCCGCCUGGGCCCAUAUGGAGGGUGGAACCCAGGAAUGUUCUGGAGAGCAGCCAAGGAACCCAAAGGAAGGAAGCCGACACACAGAGAGAGAGAGGCAGAGACACAGGCAGAAGGAGAAGCAGGCUCCGUGCAGGGAGCCCGAUGUGGGACUCGAUUCCAGGACCCCGAGAUCAGGCCCUGGGCUGAAGGCAGACGCUCAACCACCAGGCCGCAGGCGCCGCCGGAGAGCUGUCUGCGAGGAGCUGCUGUGUGCCCUGGAGCACGCGGCCAGGUGCUGUGCACAUCCACCGGGCGACACUAUUGUCACUGGAAGGAUGGUGACGUCUGUGAUACACAUUUUCCUGUAAUUAAC